UACAGAGGUCUCAAGCGUUGUUCGGAUUCAUUGGGCGUAAAGGGUGCGUAGGUGGCGCCGUAAGUGGGGUGUGAAAUCUCGGGGCUUAACUCCGAAACUGCAUUCCAUACUGCGGUGCUCGAGGACUGGAGAGGAGACUGGAAUUCAUGGUGUAGCAGUGAAAUGCGUUAGAGAUUAUGAGGAAGACCAGUGGCGAAGGCGGGUCGUCUGGACAGUUCCUGACACUGAGGCACGAAAGCGUGGGGAGCGAACGAGG
rnacentral:rRNA from 1 species